GACGAACGCUGGCGGCGUGCUUAACACAUGCAAGUCGAACGGAAAGGCCCUGCUUUUGUUGGGUGCUCGAGUGGCGAACGGGUGAGUAACACGUGAGUAACCUGCCCUUGACUUUGGGAUAACUUCAGGAAACUGGGGCUAAUACCGGAUAGGAGCUCCUGCUGCAUGGUGGGGGUUGGAAAGUUUCGGCGGUUGGGGAUGGACUCGCGGCUUAUCAGCUUGUUGGUGGGGUAGUGGCUUACCAAGGCUUUGACGGGUAGCCGGCCUGAGAGGGUGACCGGCCACAUUGGGACUGAGAUACGGCCCAGACUCCUACGGGAGGCAGCAGUGGGGAAUAUUGCACAAUGGGCGGAAGCCGGAUGCAGCAACGCCGCGUGCGGGAUGACGGCCUUCGGGUUGUAAACCGCUUUCGCCUGUGACGAAGCGUGAGUGACGGUAAUGGGUAAAGAAGCACCGGCUAACUACGUG
rnacentral:rRNA from 1 species